UACGUAGGGUGCAAGCGUUGUCCGGAAUUAUUGGGCGUAAAGAGCUCGUAGGCGGUCUGUCGCGUCUGCUGUGAAAACUCAGGGCUUAACCCUGAGCUUGCAGUGGGUACGGGCAGACUAGAGUGCGGUAGGGGAGACUGGAAUUCCUGGUGUAGCGGUGAAAUGCGCAGAUAUCACGAGGAACACCGGUGGCGAAGGCGGGUCUCUGGGCCGUAACUGACGCUGAGGAGCGAAAGCAUGGGGAGCGAACAGG
rnacentral:rRNA from 1 species